CCGAGUUUACAACUCCCGAACCCCUGUGAACAUACCUUUAUGUUGCCUCGGCGGAUCAGCCCGCGCCCCGUAAAACGGGACGGCCCGCCGCAGGAAACCCUAAACUCUGUUUUUAGUGGAACUUCUGAGUAUAAAAAACAAAUAAAUCA
rnacentral:misc_RNA from 1 species